rnacentral:rRNA from 11 species
GGCUCUAGACUUAAAACCCUUAAGAUACCAUAUCCUGUCUGAUCUUAGAAACUAAGCAGGACUGGCCUGGGUAAGUAGUUGGAUGAGAGACUGCCAAUGCAUACCAGUUGCUAUAGGUU